rnacentral:misc_RNA from 1 species
GACGAACCGUCCUAACGUUGUUCGGAAUCACUGGGCUUAAAGGGCGCGUAGGCGGUCGGCAAAGUCAGGGGUGAAAUCUUUCGGCUCAACCGGAAAAGGGCCUCUGAUACUUGUCGGCUCGAGUGAGAUAGGGGCAUGUGGAACUUCCGGUGGAGCGGUGAAAUGCGUUGAUAUCGGAAGGAACGCCGGUGGCGAAAGCGACAUGCUGGAUCUCUUCUGACGCUGAGGCGCGAAAGCUAGGGGAGCAAACGGG